rnacentral:rRNA from 1 species
CAAUAGCGUAUAUUAAAGUUGUUGCAGUUAAAAAGCUCGUAGUUGGAUUUCGGGGUGGCCUGCCUGGUCCACCGCAAGGUGAGUACUGGUCAGCCGCCCUUCCUCUCGAAAGCCCCGACUGCUCUUCAUUGCAGUGGUCGGGUAGUUCGGGACGUUUACUUUGAAAAAAUUAGAGUGUUCAAGGCAGGCUAUCGCCUGAAUACAUUAGCAUGGAAUAAUGGAAGAGGACCUCGGUCCUAUUUUGUUGGUUUCUAGGGCCGAAGCAAUGAUUAAGAGGGACAGUUGGGGGCAUUCGUAUUUAAUUGUCAGAGGUGAAAUUCUUGGAUUUAUGAAAGACGAACUAGUGCGAAAGCAUUUGCCAAGGACGUUCCCAUUAA